AACUCAAAAAAUAAAGGAAAAAAAAGGGGAAAAAGUACAGCUUAAGAGAUCUACUGAAUAGCCUACUUGAGCUUCACUCACUCUGUAGAGUAGUAGAGAUCUUGAAGUAACCAAAAAGUUUUUUCUUUUACUACUGAUGCUGUUGCUCUUUAAGGGUUUCUAGUUUGUUUAACUUCAAGAUCUGUGGUUCAGUUGCUUCUGCAGCUUAUUUGAAGAAAAGGGUCUUUAGGGUUUGUGUUGUUUCUUGAUUUUGAAGUGACUAAUUGAAGAUCCGGGACAAGUAUGAAACAGCUGUUGAUGGUGGUGUUUAGUUGUGGAACUAGGUUUGGAUGAGUAAAAAU
rnacentral:misc_RNA from 1 species